AUUCUUUCUUCUUCAACCGUGGAAAGAACAGAAAAUAGCAGCCAUGGAUGAGCUCCAUUCGGCCAAGCUUUUAUGGCUUAUAUAGAUGAUGAAAAUUGAGACUUGGACCUAGAACGGAAAGAAAUCGAUUUAUGGACGAGUAUGUCCUUUUCACAUUUGUGGUAUCGAGAGUUCCAGGUUAGCUCGGGUUGGAGGCCGUCAGAGAUAUUAUCACCCUAUCGAGUUAACGUUAUCGGAGUAAGUAAACUCAAGUGAUUCGAGUCUAUGGCAUGUAUAGGGUUUUAAUGUGAGUAUGUAAUAUUAUGAUUUAGCCAAAGGCAUUGGCUUGUUAUUAAGGUAGUAUUAGUCAUGUAAAUUGGCCUAUGUCGGCUAAUGACGUUAUGGGCCCAUAUGAUUAUUCUUAUGCAUUUAUGUUAUUAUUUCUUGUGAUGUGGCUUACAACAUGUAUGCCUAGAGAUUGAAUUGAGAUUCAUUGAUGAGCUAGUAACUAAUGCAGGAUUAAGUGAUUGGUAAAUAGUUAAUAA